GAGAUCACUACGAGAUGGA
rnacentral:siRNA from 1 species